GUAUUUUUCGUGGGGCUACUUAUUUCAAUCGCAGCGCGAUUUUGCCAAUGCCAGAUAGAUCAAAACGUGUGCUACAGUGCCGCGUACAGCUUUUUACUUUAUUCCUUGAUGAUGUGUCAGUGCACUAAUGGCUGGAUCCCUUUUUAAUUGCACGUGAUUGUUCUUUGGGAGGAUAUAUAUAGAUGAGCUUUUUAACCUAAGGG
rnacentral:lncRNA from 1 species